rnacentral:rRNA from 1 species
AACGCGAAGAACCUUACCAAGUCUUGACAUCCCCCUGACCGUUCCGCAAUGGGAACUUCUCUUCGGAGCAGGGGAGACAGGUGGUGCAUGGUUGUCGUCAGCUCGUGUCGUGAGAUGUUGGGUUAAGUCCCGCAACGAGCGCAACCCUUAUCCUUAGUAGCCAGCAGGUAAAGCUGGGCACUCUAGGGAGACUGCCAGGGAGAACCUGGAGGAAGGUGGGGAUGACGUCAAAUCAUCAUGCCCCUUAUGACUUGGGCUACACGCGUGCUACAAUGGCGUAAACAAAGGGAAGCAGCCCUGUGAAGGUGAGCAAAUCCCAAAAAUAACGUCUCAGUUCGGAUUGUAGUCUGCAACUCGACUACAUGAAGCUGGAAUCGCUAGUAAUCGCGGAUCAGAAUGCCGCGGUGAGUACGUUCCCGGGUCUUGUACACACCG